GGUCAUGAGUGCCAGCGCGAAGCCCCGGCUUGCUGGCCGGCAACCCUCCAACCGCGGUGGGGUGCCCCGGGUGAUGACCAGGUUGAGUAGUCGCCACCGGCUACGCGGCAAGCGCGGGUC
rnacentral:ncRNA from 2 species